ensembl:snoRNA U3 Small nucleolar RNA U3
AAGACUAUACUUUCAGGGAUCAUUUCUAUAGUUUUUGACUUGAGAAAUGUGUUUCUAAUGGGUAUGGUCUCGCUAACCAUGAUGAUGAGUUGUGAUAUUCCCUUUUGAGUGUGAAGUGGGCAGAGAAUAAUGAUUCAGUUCAUACGUUCUCUGUUAUUGAUGACUGUUCUUUGCUUCCUUGUGGAGUAAGGAGGAAGGGGAUAUGAUCAGAGUGGU